AGUGAACGCUGGCGGUAGGCCUAACACAUGCAAGUCGAACGGCAGCACAGUAAGAGCUUGCUCUUAUGGUUGGCGAGUGGCGGACGGGUGAGGAAUACAUCGGAAUCUACUUUUUCGUGGGUGAUAACGUAGAGAAACUUACGCUAAUACCGCAUACGACCUACGGGUGAAAGCAUGGGAUCUUCGGACCUUGCGCGAUUGCAUGAGCCGAUGUCGGAUUAGCUAGUUGGCGGGGUAAAGGCCCACCAAGGCGACGAUCCGUAGCUGGUCUGAGAGGAUGAUCAGCCACACUGGAACUGAGACACGGUCCAGACUCCUACGGGAGGCAGCAGUGGGGAAUAUUGGACAAUGGGCGCAAGCCUGACCCAGCCAUACCGCGUGAGUGAAGAAGGCCUUCGGGUUGUAAAGCCCUGUUGUUGGGGAAGAAAAGCAGCAGCUGAAUACCGCGCUGUUCUGACGGUACCCAAAGAAUAAGCACCGGCUAACUUCGUG
rnacentral:rRNA from 1 species